CUCUCCCUCAAAUUUUCCAUAGUCCUUGCUUCUUUUUUGGUUCAACACUUUCUCCAUUAGAUAUUUCCAACCCCUCAGAAGAAGCUACUGGCUUUUUUUUUUGCUUUUAUGUUUUGCAACAAACAUGAUUCUUCUCGGAAAGCAUCCUGGUUUCUCUCUGGCUUGAAAGGAACUUAAGUGACCACACCAUGGAAUUCUUACUUUCUAUUUUUGGACCUGUGAAGAGUUUUGGGGAAGCAACUGGAAAAUGGAUUGGAUAUAUCAAUAGUCUUGAUGCUAACAUGACAAAUCUCAAAAGAAAGCUGGAUGACUUGAGCAGCCAAGAGGAUGAUAUAAAUAAUGAAUUGAACUGUGCAGAGCAGCAGUCAAGGAAGAGACGAAAGAAAGUAGUUGAUGUUUGGCUCAGAGAUGUGCAAAUGUUAAAAGUUGAUGUGCAAACUUUGCAUACACAAGAGAAAAUAGUAAGAUAGAUGGAUGUCUUCUCACGCGCACGGUUGGGAAAGGUUGUCAUGGAGAAGAUUCAAGAGGUGGAAAAACUGCAAGAAAAUGGUAGUUUUUAUAGCGAUCCCGGGUUUACCCUUGUUGUACAGUGAUCCGGACAUGUGUCCGUGGAUGUUGGUAGUUGUUUAUUAUCUUGUUU